rnacentral:lncRNA from 1 species
AUUAUCAAAAUUCCCGAUUUUAUAUAAAGUUAUUAUUGAAUGGUUCAAGGUUUCAAAUUCAAAUUCAAAUUCCAUGUUUUUUUGGAAACAAAAACAAUUGACGUAAAUCUUUGGUUACAUAUCCUAAUUAUUUUUUGAAUCAUUUUAAAGAUUUCAAAGAAUCCCAAAAAAUCAGCUUUUUCAAUUCAAAUUUUAAUAGAUACAUAUCAAAUACUCCAAUAAUACGUCUUCAACUUUCGUUCCAAUUCCAAUUGUCGACUUUCAUUAUGCUUUCUUCUUCAACAUUACGUUUUCUGCAGAAGAUACAUCAUAAGAAAUUUGGUUAGUUCAUCUUCAUAUCUUCAUAAACCAAUAAUUCUAACAUUUUUCUGAAAAUACGUUAAUACCAUUCUACUUUCAGUUCUUAUUUCUUUGUUCGGAUGCAUCCUACUUCACUCAUCUAUUUCUGGUUCAAUUUCUCCAUAUAUGUUUUUAACAUAAAGGAAGCUGCCCCUUUAUGUUCAAGAUAUAUGUUCUGUUUGUAUACAUCUUGAAAAAUUAGAUAAAGAUAUAUGUUUUGAUUCACUGAUUUCAUAUAGAUUUUGAUUUGUUUGUUUUGUUUUCUUAUUUUUUCUGUAUUAUGCUAGAAUUCUAGGGUAGUUAUUUGAAGCUUCAUAUAAAUCUGGAAGAAAAACAAAAAGUAGUUGUUAAUUAUAUCCCAUAGCUAUCUGUUUUUGAUUUGUUUGUUUUAUUUUCUUAUUCUAAAUCUGGAAAAAAAAUCAAAGAAAGAAUAGUCGUUAAAGAUAUCACAUAGCUAUUUGUUUUAAAGAUUAAAAAAAUCGCAUUUCUAGACUAAACAUUUCAUUACACAUUUUUCUAGAAUGAAAAAUAAUGUUUAUUAUAUAACCUUAGAUAAAGAUGUAUGUUUUGAUUCACUGAUUUCCUAUAGAUUUUGAUUUGUUUAUUUUGUUUUCUUAUUUUUUUCUGUAUUAUUCAUAAUUUUAGGGUAGUUAUUUGAAGCUUCAUAUAAAUUUGGAAAAAAAAAUCAAAGAGUAGUUGUUAACGAUAUUCCAUAGCUAUCUGUUUUUGAUUUGUUUAUUUUAUUUUCUUAUUCUUUCUACUGAAACUACCCCUUUAUGUUCAAGAUAUAUGUUCUGUUUGUAUACAUCUUGAGAAAUAAGCUUGAAAAAUAAGAUAAAGAUGUAUGUUUUGAUUCACUGAUUUCAUAUAGAUUUUCAUUUGUUUGUUUUGUUUUCUUAUUUUUUAUGUAUUAUGCAGAAUUUUAUUGUAGUAAUUUGAAGCUUCAUAUAAAUCUGGAAAAAAAAAUCAAAGAGUAGUUGUUAUGAUAUCCCAUAGCAAUCACCUAAACAAUUUAAUAAAUACUAAAUCUGGAAUCUAUUCAUACAAUUAUUAGUGCAUCUUCUGCAAAGAACGAAAAAAUUUUAUUUUACCUUUAUUCCUCUUCUUCAAACGUGUUUUAGCAACGACGCCGUUAUUUCUUUAAAACUCUUUUUCCAGAUUUUGACCUCCAUCGAGGUAUCUUUGUUCUCUACUCUCUAUUCAUUCCUUAUUCAAGAACAAAGUCGCACCCAGGUUGAAAAAAAGGGAAAAAAAUCGCAAGGUUAGAAUAGUUUAGGGUAUUAGGUUAUGAAAAUCAUUUUAUCUCAAGAAGCUGUAAGUUGUUUUAAAACGCAAAUCCUUACAAUUAUAUAAAAUAGAACUUCACCACAAUAUCAUAUUACAUGCAACGGAACUCCGGCGAGUUGAUUUGGCGACGUUGGUAGGCUUCUCUUCCUUCCUCUUGAGUCUUGAGAGUUGAGACGACUGUGAAUUACUCUAUUCAUCUGUUCAUUGCCACGUAACGUUGUUUUAUUAGAGUGAGUUACAA